AUCUUAAUAGCUUAAUAAUAGAGCAUAGCACUGAAGAUGCUAAGGUGACUUUACAGUCUCAUAUAUAUA
rnacentral:tRNA from 1 species